UACGGAGGGUGCGAGCGUUGUCCGGAAUCACUGGGCGUAAAGAGCUCGUAGGCGGUUUGUUGCGUCGGCUGUGAAAUCCCGAGGCUCAACCUCGGGUCUGCAGUCGAUACGAGCAAACUAGAGUGUUGCAGGGGAGACUGGAAUUCCUGGUGUAGCGGUGAAAUGCGCAGAUAUCUGGAGGAACACCGGGUGGCGAAGGCGGCAUUCUGGACCGACAUUGACGCUGAGGAGCGAAAGCCAGGGGAGCAAACGGG
rnacentral:rRNA from 1 species